GAUGAACGCUGGCGGCGUGCCUAAUACAUGCAAGUCGAGCGAACAGACGAGGAGCUUGCUCCUCUGACGUUAGCGGCGGACGGGUGAGUAACACGUGGAUAACCUACCUAUAAGACUGGGAUAACUUCGGGAAACCGGAGCUAAUACCGGAUAAUAUAUUGAACCGCAUGGUUCAAUAGUGAAAGACGGUUUUGCUGUCACUUAUAGAUGGAUCCGCGCCGCAUUAGCUAGUCGGUAAGGUAACGGCUUACCAAGGCGACGAUGCGUAGCCGACCUGAGAGGGUGAUCGGCCACACUGGAACUGAGACACGGUCCAGACUCCUACGGGAGGCAGCAGUAGGGAAUCUUCCGCAAUGGGCGAAAGCCUGACGGAGCAACGCCGCGUGAGUGAUGAAGGUCUUCGGAUCGUAAAACUCUGUUAUUAGGGAAGAACAAAUGUGUAAGUAGCUAUGCACGUCUUGACGGUACCUAAUCAGAAAGCCACGGCUAACUACGUG
rnacentral:rRNA from 1 species